CAAAAAUAACAUAGUUUGUUUCAUGUGAACAUUCAAGUAGAAAGCAAAAUCAAACUAAAGAAGCUCCGUAGAGUGGCGACGGAGUUCUAUAAACAGGUUCGAAAUUGGAUGAAAGUGAGUGAGUCUGCCAAGUUACCAACCUUUAAUUAACAAAUAAAUCACUAGAUAUUGUAGCAUAUAAUACAAUAAUCAAUAUACAUCGUUUUAAUAUUAUAUUGACUUUUGUUUUGAUGAACCGAGACGAGAGAAAACGCAGGUUCAACGAAGCAAUUGUGAACAUCCUCUAUCCCCCACCUCCACAAGACUUAGAACCUAUCGAAUUAGGGUCUUGCUCAAACGUUAUUUCAGACACUUUUUAUGACUCUGAGAAUGCAUCGACGACCGAGAGCGAAGAAAAACACGAAUCGGAGACGGAGAAACUCACCAGAGCUCAACGAAAGAGAAUUCGUAAGAAGAAGAUGAAGCAAGAAGCUAUUCUCCGCGGAAAAUUAAUUGGUCCGUUGAUGCCUCCCACCCAAACAACGCAGUGUGAAGAUGAUGAUGCUCUUCAAGCUGUUCGAUCAAAUGCUUCUCAGGAAGGUGAUGAGACGACUUGUGCUAACUCCAAGAAAAUGAAGCGUCGGAGGAUGGCAAAAAGGAUGGCCAAAGAAAAGCGAGUUGCCUCUGCAUUUGAGAAAUGCAAUCAAAGUUCAAUUUCAAGUGAUGCUGUCAUUGACCUGAAAGACUCCCAUACGUGAGUAUGUGUGUAGCUCGAGUUUGAAAUGAGAACAAUGUAGUUUGUAGCGACAAUCACAAAAAUGGUGAAUAAAUAGAUGAAGAGAGGAACACUGAAAAGGAGGAGGAAGUGGUAGUUAUAUACAUUUGGUGGGGGAUGAUAUAUUUUGGCACUCUUUUUGAAGGGAUGAAGUGUCCUGCAAUGCUAUUUCCUUGAUGAAACUUUCUUUGUAGUGCUAAUUUUCUGAAAUUUCCUAUGUGAAAAUAUGUUUUGAUGUGGCAAAUAUUAUUUGCAUUGAACGG